GACGAACGCUGGCGGCGUGCUUAACACAUGCAAGUCGAACGGAAAGGCCCUGCGUGGGGGCUCAGUGGGGAAGGGGAAAGGGGGAGGAGGACGAAAUGAACCCGGCUCUGGGUUAAGUGGAAGAUAAGGGAGCUAAAACUAGAAGCGGACAGCAGACCGCAUGGGUGGGGGUGCAAGGGAUUUUCGGCUGGGGCUGGGCGCGAGGCUCGGCAGCUUGUUUGGGGGGUAGGGGGCUACCAAGCCGACGACUGGUAGCCGGCCUGAGAGGUUGACCGGCCACACUGGGACUAAGACACGGCCCAGACUCCUACGGGAGGCAGCAGUGGGGAAUAUUGCCCAAUGGGCGGAAGCCUGUCGCAGCGACGCCGCGUGCGGGAUGACGGCCUUCUGGUUGUAAACCUCUUUCGGCUGUGACGAAGCGCUAGUGACGGUACCUGCAGAAGAAGCACCGGCUAACUACGUG
rnacentral:rRNA from 1 species